CAGUAGCCGCGGUAAUACGGAGGAUCCGAGCGUUAUCCGGAAUUAUUGGGUUUAAAGGGUGCGUAGGCGGAUAGAUAAGUCAGUGGUGAAAGACGGUGGCUCAACCAUCGCAGUGCCGUUGAUACUGUUUAUCUUGAAUAUGGAUGAGGUAGGCGGAAUGUGGCAAGUAGCGGUGAAAUGCAUAGAUAUGCCACAGAACACCGAUUGCGAAGGCAGCUUACCAAGGCAAAAUUGACGCUGAGGCACGAAAGCGUGGGGAUCGAACAGGAUUAGAUACCCGGGUAGUCCCUGUCUCUUAUAC
rnacentral:rRNA from 1 species